GAUUACCGUAUAUACUCGUGUAUAAGUCGAUCUCAUGUAUAAGUCGAGUGCAGUUUUGUGACCAACAAUUGUGAAAUAUGCUAUGCCUCGUGGAUAAGUCGAGGGUAAAUCUUGGGGCUAUGAAAUUCUGUGAUUUUUAUAAUUAUAUACACACACACUCAUACAAACACACUCUGCAUUAUAUAUACACACACUCAUACAAACACACACUCUGC